AUUGAACGCUGGCGGCAGGCCUAACACAUGCAAGUCGAGCGGAUCGGCGGCCGGGUACGUAAUGCCUAGGAAUCUGCCUGGUAGUGGGGGAUCACGUCCGGAAACGGGCGCUACUACCGCAUACUAUCAGAUGAGCCUAGGUCGGAUUAACUAGUUGGUGGGGUAGAGGCCUACCAAGGCGACGAUCCGUAACUGGUCUGAUAGGAUGAUCAGUCACACUGGAACUGAGACACGGGCCAGACUCCUACGGUAGGCAGCAGUGGGGAAUAUUGGACUAUGGGCGAAAGCCUGAUACAGCCAUGCCGCGUGUGUGAAGAAGGUCUGCGGAUUGUAAAGCACUUUAAGUUGGGAGGCGUUACCAACAGAAUAAGCACCGGCUAACUGCGUGCCAGCGGCCGCGGUAAUAC
rnacentral:rRNA from 1 species